GACGAAAGGCAUAACGUUAACUUAUCCCUGCUUCCCGAUUUCUGCCGGUUCGGGUGUUGUUUUCGCUGUUCGCUGGUAAUGCACGUGCGUACUGCUCAAGUGUGUGGUUGUAAGAUCAUCUAGAAAUCAUUUUAGGAGUUCAGGUGUUUGCAGAGUUCCACCGAAUCAACAAUGUUAACCUGCGCAAUCAAUUCUACAAGGAGCUGGACAGACACACGCCUAAACUCAUCACCUUGUUCAGAGACAAGGCCACCAAGACUGGCAAGACAGCGGAGGAGCUAGCCAAGCUCAUGAGGAUUUAUGAUCUUCAGGAACAACGUGAUGUAAAUAUGAGACGGGCC